rnacentral:rRNA from 1 species
GACGAACGCUGGCGGCGUGCCUAAUACAUGCAAGUCGACCUUAGUGGCGAACGGGUUAGUAACACGUGGGUAACCUGCCCAUCAGAAGGGGAGAACACUUGGAAACAGGUGCUAAUACCGUAUACUGAUGGAUGGACCCGCGGUGCAUUAGCUAGUUGGUGAGGUAACGGCUGACCAAGGCCACGAUGCAUAGCCGGCCUACGAGGGUGAGCGGCCACAUUGGGACUGAGACACGGCCCAAACUCCUACGGGCGGCAGCAGUAGGGAAUCUUCGGCAGUGGACGAAAUUCUGACCGAGCCGCGCAGCGUGAGUGAAGAAGGUUUUCGGAUCGUAAGGCUCUGUUGUUAGAGAAGCGGUAUCUAACCAGAAAGCCACGGCUAACUACGUGCCAGCAGCCGCGGUAAUAC